rnacentral:rRNA from 1 species
AUUGAACGCUGGCGGCAGGCCUAACACAUGCAAGUCGAACGAGUGGCGGACGGGUGGGUAAUGUCUGGGCAACUGCCUGAUGGAGGGGGUUCGCUACUGGAAACGGUUGCUAAUAACGCAUACCCUAGGAUGUGCCCAGGUGGGAUUAGCGUGUUGUGGGGGUAACGGCCUACCAAGGCGACUAUCCCUAACUGGUUUGAGAGGAUGAACAGCCACACUGGAACUGAGACACGGUCCAGACUCCUACGGGAGGCAGCAUUGGGGAAUAGUGCACAAUGGGCGCAAGCCUGAUGCAGCCAUGCCGCGUGUAUGAAGAAGGCCUUCGGGUUGUAAAGUACUUUCAGUGGGGAGGCGUUACCCGCAGAAGAAGCACCGGCUAACUUCGUGCCAGCAGCCGCGGUAAUAC